UGCAAGUCGAGCGAACAGAUGAGAAGCUUGCUUCUCUGAUGUUAGCGGCGGACGGGUGAGUAACACGUGGGUAACCUACCUAUAAGACUGGGAUAACUCCGGGAAACCGGGGCUAAUACCGGAUAAUAUUUUGAACCGCAUGGUUCAAUAGUGAAAGACGGUUUCGGCUGUCACUUAUAGAUGGACCCGCGCCGUAUUAGCUAGUUGGUAAGGUAACGGCUUACCAAGGCGACGAUACGUAGCCGACCUGAGAGGGUGAUCGGCCACACUGGAACUGAGACACGGUCCAGACUCCUACGGGAGGCAGCAGUAGGGAAUCUUCCGCAAUGGGCGAAAGCCUGACGGAGCAACGCCGCGUGAGUGAUGAAGGUCUUCGGAUCGUAAAACUCUGUUGUUAGGGAAGAACAAAUUUGUUAGUAACUGAACAAGUCUUGACGGUACCUAACCAGAAAGCCACGGCUAACUACGUGCCAGCAGCCGCGGUAAUACGUAGGUGGCAAGCGUUAUCCGGAAUUAUUGGGCGUAAAGCGCGCGUAGGCGGUUUCUUAAGUCUGAUGUGAAAGCCCACGGCUCAACCGUGGAGGGUCAUUGGAAACUGGGAAACUUGAGUGCAGAAGAGGAGAGUGGGAAUUCCAUGUGUAGCGGUGAAAUGCGCAGAGAUAUGGAGGAACACCAGUGGCGAAGGCGGCUCUCUGGUCUGUAACUGACGCUGAUGUGCGAAAGCGUGGGGAUCAAACAGGAUUAGAUACCCUGGUAGUCCACGCCGUAAACGAUGAGUGCUAAGUGUUAGGGGGUUUCCGCCCCUUAGUGCUGCAGCUAACGCAUUAAGCACUCCGCCUGGGGAGUACGACCGCAAGGUUGAAACUCAAAGGAAUUGACGGGGACCCGCACAAGCGGUGGAGCAUGUGGUUUAAUUCGAAGCAACGCGAAGAACCUUACCAAAUCUUGACAUCCUUUGACCGCUCUAGAGAUAGAGUCUUCCCCUUCGGGGGACAAAGUGACAGGUGGUGCAUGGUUGUCGUCAGCUCGUGUCGUGAGAUGUUGGGUUAAGUCCCGCAACGAGCGCAACCCUUAAGCUUAGUUGCCAUCAUUAAGUUGGGCACUCUAGGUUGACUGCCGGUGACAAACCGGAGGAAGGUGGGGAUGACGUCAAAUCAUCAUGCCCCUUAUGAUUUGGGCUACACACGUGCUACAAUGGAUAAUACAAAGGGCAGCGAAUCCGCGAGGCCAAGCAAAUCCCAUAAAAUUAUUCUCAGUUCGGAUUGUAGUCUGCAACUCGACUACAUGAAGCUGGAAUCGCUAGUAAUCGUAGAUCAGCAUGCUACGGUGAAUACGUUCCCGGGUCUUGUACACACCGCCCGUCACACCACGAGAGUUUGUAACACCCGAAGCCGGUGGAGUAACCUUUUAGGAGCU
rnacentral:rRNA from 2 species